rnacentral:misc_RNA from 1 species
AAGGCUUGACAUACACCGGAAAAGUGCAGAGAUGUGCUCCCCGCAAGGUCGGUGUACAGGUGGUGCAUGGUUGUCGUCAGCUCGUGUCGUGAGAUGUUGGGUUAAGUCCCGCAACGAGCGCAACCCUCGUCCCAUGUUGCCAGCGGGUAGUGCCGGGGACUCAUGGGAGACUGCCGGGGUCAACUCGGAGGGAAGGUGGGGAUGACGUUCUUGCUAGGUAA